UACGUAGGUGGCGAGCGUUGUCCGGAAUUAUUGGGCGUAAAGAGCGUGUAGGUGGGAUCAUAAGUCUCAUGUAAAAGUGCGGGGCUCAACUCCGUAAAGCGUGAGAAACUGUGGUUCUUGAGUGCCGGAGAGGAAAGCGGAAUUCCCAGUGUAGCGGUGAAAUGCGUAGAUAUUGGGAGGAACACCAGUGGCGAAGGCGGCUUUCUGGACGGUGUCUGACACUGAGGCGCGAAAGCCAGGGGAGC
rnacentral:rRNA from 1 species